UACGUAGGGUGCAAGCGUUGUCCGGAAUUAUUGGGCGUAAAGAGCUCGUAGGCGGUUUGUUGCGUCGGCUGUGAAAUCCCGAGGCUCAACCUCGGGUCUGCAGUCGAUACGAGCAAACUAGAGUGUUGCAGGGGAGACUGGAAUUCCUGGUGUAGCGGUGAAAUGCGUAGAUAUCUGGAGGAACACCGGUGGCGAAGGCGCCCACCUGGCCUGCUACUGACGCUGAAGCUCGAAAGCUAGGGGAGCAAACGGG
rnacentral:rRNA from 1 species